CAUAUACUCCCUCCGUUCUGAAUUACUUGUCUUAGAUUUGUCUAGAUACGGAUGUAUCUAGCACUAACAUCUGUAUCUAGACAAAUCCGAGACAAGUAAUUUAGAACGGAGGGAGUAUAUA
rfam:Triticum aestivum genome assembly, contig: Triticum_aestivum_CS42_TGACv1_scaffold_212597_3AS